rfam:Limnoraphis robusta CS-951 contig227, whole genome shotgun sequence.
GUACCGGAUGAGGGUUUUGCCGUUGUGACUCAUUGCUUUUCACCGAAGGAGAGCGAAUUGACAGGUGAAAAGACGGUAC